rnacentral:rRNA from 1 species
AAUAUCCCGGGCUACACGCGAGCUACAAUGGUUGGUACAAUGGGUAUCUACCCCGAAAGGGGACGGGAAUCUCCUAAAACCAAUCUUAGUUCGGAUUGAGGCUGCAACUCGCCCUCAUGAAGCUGGAAUCCGUAGUAAUCGCGUUUCAACAGAACGCGGUGAAUACGUCCCUGCUCCUU